AUUGAACGCUGGCGGCAGGCCUAACACAUGCAAGUCGAGCGAGCGGCGGACGGGUGAGUAAUGUAUGGGGACUGCCCGAUAGAGGGGGCUAACUACUGGAAACGGUGGCUAAUACCGCAUACUAGCGGAUAACCCAUAUGGGAUUAGCUAGUGGGGGGGGUAAAGGCUCACAUAGGCGAGGAUCUCUAGCUGGUCUGAGAGGGUGGUCAGCCACACGGGGACUGAGACACGGCCCAGACUCCUACGGAGGCAGUAGUGGGGAAUAUUGCACAAUGGGGGCAAGCCUUAUGCAGCCAUGCCGCGUGUAUGAAGAAGGCCUUAGGGGUGUAAAGUACUUUCAGCGGGGAGGCGUGUCCCGCAGAAGAAGCACCGGGUAACUCCGUGCCAGCAGCCGCGGUAAUAC
rnacentral:rRNA from 1 species